rnacentral:misc_RNA from 1 species
GAUGAAGAACGCAGCGAAAUGCGAUACGUAAUGUGAAUUGCAGAAUUCAGUGAAUCAUCGAAUCUUUGAACGCGCAUUGCGCCCCCUGGUAUUCCGGGGGGCAUGCCUGUCCGAGCGUCAUUACAACCCUCAAGCUCAGCUUGGUGUUGGGCCCCGCCGCCCCGGCGGGCCCUAAAGUCAGUGGCGGUGCCGUCCGGCUCCGAGCGUAGUAAUUCUUCUCGCUCUGGAGGUCCGGUCGUGUGCUCGCCAGCAACCCCCAAUUUUUUUCAGGUUGACCUCGGAUCAGGUAGGGAUACCCGCUGAACUUAAGCAUAUCAAUAAGCGGAGGA